UACGUAGGGGGCGAGCGUUAUCCGGAUUUACUGGGUGUAAAGGGAGCGUAGACGGCAUGGCAAGUCUGGAGUGAAAGCCCGGGGCCCAACCCCGGGACUGCUCUGGAAACUGCCAGGCUAGAGUGCUGGAGAGGUAAGUGGAAUUCCUAGUGUAGCGGUGAAAUGCAUAGAUAUCACGCAGAACUCCGAUUGCGAAGGCGGCUUCCUGGUCUGCAAUUGACACUGAGGCGCGAAAGCGUGGGGAGCAA
rnacentral:rRNA from 1 species